AUUGAACGCUGGCGGCAGGCCUAACACAUGCAAGUCGAACGGUAGCAGGAUGAGACUUGCUUCUUUGCUGUGGCGUGGCGGGCGGGUGAGUAAUGUCUGGGAAACUUCCUGAUGGAGGGGGGUAACUCGUGGAAACGGUAACUCAUACCGCGUAAAGUAGCAAGGCGUGAAAGCAGGAGAUUUUGGCCUCUUGCCGUCGGAUGUGACCAGAUGGGAUUAGCUCGAAGGUGGGGUAAAGGCCCACCUAGGCGACGAUCCCUAGCUGGUCUGAGAGGAUGAACAGCCACACUGGAACUGAGACACGGUCCAGACUCCUACGGGAGGCAGCAGUGGGGAAUAUUGCACAAUGGGCGCAAGCCUGAUGCAGCCAUGCCGCGUGGAUGAAGAAGGCCUUCGGGUUGUAAAGUACUUUUAUCGGGGAGGAAGGGAGUAAAGUUAAUACCUUUCUUCAUUGACGGUACCCACAGAAUAAGCACCGGCUAACUCCGUG
rnacentral:rRNA from 1 species